ACAGGUAGUAUGAGAAGACAGCAGUGAGAUCCCUCCUGAGGACUUGGUAAUAAGAUAUCCCCAGAGAGUCAAACUAGUUUAAUCAUCAUGUGAGAAAAGCCUCAACGUUUCCCAGAUGUGGAAACUGAGGCACAGAGAGGUUUAGUAAUCAUCCAAGGUCACUGAGCUGAUCCUGACAACAUAGGGGAAGAGAGCUGGCACAGUAUAAUAUAACCAGGAGCUGCCAACCGUACACAGGGCUGACCCGAAGCUGAGACUCGCUGCCACUGCCCAGUGUCACUGGAGAGCAUGCCGCCAGCCCAGGAAAAGAUUAAACUUCAAAAUUCGAAGUACAGUUUCUACUCACUGCAUAUCACUUUCACGCCAUCCUAAAGUCAAAAAAUUUGCAAAGCAAGGAAGAGUGGCGUUGGCCCAGUAGUCCAGAAGCUCUUAGCCAAGAGAUGAGUGAAGGGAGGUUAUAAGACCCUCCUUGUUUUACCUCUGAUCCCAGAGGCUUGAGCCCCCAAAGGUCAAGAUGGUGGCCUCCCUUAGAGCCAUGAAAGAUGGGCCCAGAGCAAACUAAGCUGGGCCUGGAUGCAGAGAAGUUAGUACACGGUCAGGGCACGACAGUCCAGGUUGCUAGGGCUGACACCCCGUCCCCUGCCCUCCUCCCUGCCCCGCCCCAUUCCCCUUGCUCCCGCUCUG